rnacentral:tRNA from 1 species
CGGGGUGUGGCGCAGUCUGGUAGCGCACCUGCUUUGGGAGCAGGGGGCCGUCAGUUCGAAUCUGACCACCCCGA